UGAGCCCAGCUCAGCACUAGGACUUGCCUAGGAACUGCAGUCCUUGUGACCUUGACUGCCAUUCAAGUUUAUUUACAACCCAGAGCACUUUACCCCCAUGGUGGUGAGGUUUGCUGAAACUCAAGUUCCAUACACUGAGUUGGGCAACUCCCUUGGGCAAUUCUCCUCUGGCUAGGGCUGGUCUAAAUAUUCUCUCCAUCAUCAGCCGUCAGCUGAAUUCAGUUCGGUUUUACUUUCAUUGUGACAAAGCAGCAUCAAAUUCAGUGCAAUGUCUCACAAUGGCUGCGCUCUCCCUCUUCCAAGCACAGAGAUUCUCUCUCCACGCCACACAGCCACUGCCAUGGCAUGGGGACAGGUGGCAUCAGCAACUCAAGACUGUCUUCCCUACCCUCUUCUUUGCCUCUUUCACCGGUAUGAAGUUAAAACCAGGACUACCCAGGCAGGGGGAGCUGCCUUCACUCACCCUUUCCCACUAUUGCUUCCAGAAACAUCUCCCCAUCUCUACAGUGGGGACUUUGUAAGCACAGAUGUGGGUCCCAUGAGUACUAGAGAAGGAAGCAGUAGCUGCAAAAAUCUUGGUUUCUCUGGCCCUUCUGACAGCAAGUACGGCCAGGAGCAGCUCCCUAAUCUACAUACUACAGAUCUAUCCACAAGAAGAUAGAUGGAACCAUUCUCCUCUUCUGAAUUCUAGAGCCUUAAGGAAGUUAACCUGAGUGGCUCAGCUUGGAUCGAGUGCCCAUCCUGGUCCAAGUAACUGUAGCAGCACAUCUGUGUAUUUGUGUAUCUUGUUCCUCCAUAAUCUUGCAGUCCGGGGAAACUGUGCAGAUGGAUGGGUUCCUGAAAAGCAGGAGUUGCUUAGACAACCCUAGAGGUGUUCAGUUCUGGGAGACAAGAGUUGGGCCAGGUUGAUAACUAACCUAAAAGAGUCAGAAUCAAAUGAAUAAGAAUUAAAUCUUGGAUGACCACCUAGAUCAAGAGUCUCGAGGUUCAGUCAUUUCAAAAAGUUCAAGUCUCAUUGCUUCUUGGCCUUCUGGCUAAGAUCAUGUGCAGCAUCUGUUCUUACCAGUUUAAUAUCUGAUACAUUCUCUAUCUGAGGAUAAUAUAAUAAGUAGAUUUUUGGAGCAAGGAGAUGGAAUAGGAGCUUGCUCUGUCCACUCUACACAUUGACCUGGAUUGCAGUACCUCCAGGAAUUGUGCACCCUCUCUACCACCCCCAAAAAGUCCAAGUCUCAAGAGGUAGUCCGGAAAAAAGUGUUUUUGGAUUUAUCUACAUUUUUUUUUUUUCUGAGAUGGAGUCUCGUUCUGUCACCCAGGCCGGAGUGUAGUGGCACCAUCUCAGCUCACUGUAACCUCUGCCUCUGGGAUUCAAGCGAUUCUCCUUCCUCAGCCUCCCAAGUAGCUGGGAUUACAGGUGUGUGCCACCAUGCCCAGCUAAUUUUUGUAUUUUUAGUAGAGACAGGGCUUCACCAUGUUGGCCAGGCUGGUCUCGAACUCCUGACCUCAGAUGAUCUACCUGCCUUGGCCUCCCAAAGUGCUAAGAUUACAGGCGUGAGCCACUGCUCCUAGUCUAAUUUUUGUAAUUUUAGUAGAGAUGGGUUUUCACCAUGUUGGCCAGGUUGGUCUCGAACUCCUGAUCUCAGGUGAUCCACCCCCGCCCCCCCACCGGCCUCCCAAAGUGCUGGCACUACAGGCGUGAGCCACCGCUCCUGGCCGGGUUUACCUACAUUUUGGAGAUGCUGCACUCCAGGUCCCUCUUUUCAAGAGUCACAUAAGUAUUUGCAUAUGGAAGACCUUGAGAAGGCGCCUGGGAAAAAAACCUGUUUAACUGUAAAUAUAAUAAUGUAUGUAUUUGUAUGUGGACCUCUUCUUUUAGUGGAUUAUCUAUAAACCGUCCACUGUUCCCAAUGCAUACUUUGGAGACAGACCUACACUACCAGUUUUCACCUGCUAGUUAUUUUUAUAAGGGUUGGGAUGGUCCAUGAGUGAACAGUCUUGAUUUAAAGCAGUGUUUCCCAAACCUCAUUUAUUUGCCUAUAACCUUCCUGGAAUUUGUCUUAUAUGUCUCCUCUGUGCACUAUUCCUAUAUGUUUUUAUGUAAAUCAAUCAUUUUUUUAAAAAGCCUCAUCCCAGUUAUAUCCGUAAAACAAUGGUCAUUUUUUUCUUAUACAUAUUGGAAUACAUAUCUAUUAGAAUUAAAAUGCUUGUCCAUGCACUA